AUAUAUAUAUAUAUAUAUAUAUAUAUAUAUAUAAAUAUAAUUGAGCUCUUAUGCUUUUAAAAGUACCAAAUCAUUGGUGCUUGUAAGUUUUUUGGCCCUUACAUUAAGAAAUAUACGAUUAGGAUGAUAUAGGUCUCCUAGGGUUGAGUGGGUGGUUGGUUGAAUAGUAUAAUCUAACGGGUGAAAAUGAUCAAAGACAUAAAUCUAACGGUAAAAAACUCACAAGCACCAAGUGCUUGGUGCUUUUACAAGCAUCAUAGCCGGACUCUCUCUCUCUCUCUCUCUCUCUCUCUCUCUCUCUCUCUCUCUCUCUCUCUAUAUAUAUAUAUAUAUAUAUAUAUAUAGAGAAUUAGGCUACUAUACUAUCUAUAUUACCGAGCUCCGGUACUAUAGUGUUUGUUUUCGAUCUUAGGGCGUUCAAAUCAACGAACCACACCGUUAAAUAUCAUCUAGGGUAUAUAAAUUUCUUAGGAAUAAAAUUUUAAUUUUUUUCGAUAUCGUUUACUUAGUAAAUAAAUUAUAUCAAAAUGGACGGUGAAAAUUGAAUAAUUUUUAAAAUUUGAGCAUAAAACUUUUAAAUUCAAAAUCAAGAAUAUUAACCUUAAUCUAUAUAGUUUAAAGUAUUUUCUAUCAAAAUUUGAAGAAAUUUAGAUUCUUCUACACCGUUAAACUCCAAACUCGCCAUAAUAGCCAUUAAAAAUUGACAAUUUUGAAAUAGUUUGAUCAUAAAAUAAACUAUGUCGAAAAAAUAUAAAAUUUUAUUUCUAGAAACUUUAAAUACCCUAGAUAAGUUUUAACGGUGUGGAUCGUUGAUUUGAACGCCCUAAGAUCGAAAACCAACACUAUAGUACUGAAGUUCAGUACUAUGGAUAGUAUAGUAGCCUAGCUCUCUCUCUAUAUAUAUAUAUAUAUAUAUUAUAGUUUUCUAACUAUUUGUUCUUUAAAAAAAUAUUAACUCGUUCGAAAAAUCUUUUUUUCAAUAUUUUAUAAAAAACUAAUACUUUUAUUUUUUAAACA
rnacentral:lncRNA from 1 species